GCUGAGUUUAAAAAUGGCGUGCUCACCGGAUUAGGAAACUUUGACGUACAAAAUACAGAAUUCAUAACGGAGGGAAUUGCCAUUGAAUUGUCCAUGAAUUUUCCACUUAUCACUUUUCAAGCAGAAAACUACAAAAUGGCGGGAGCUGUUUUGGAAAUAAUACCAAUAGCUGGAAAAGGAAUAUUUGAAUUCCAAAUACACAAUCUGACAUUAUCAGGAAAGUUCUACUUGAAGCAGUCGGACGAUGAAAAAUCCAUAUUAAUUAAGGAAAUUUCUAAUUCUCAAUUCAGCAUACAACAAAUUGACUCUCAUGUGGAAUUCGACAAUAAUAUAGAUGACAUCGCAAACGCUAUUUUAACGGAUCUCUUAGCGGGAUACAUUAAUCGCUUCAAUCAGUUUUUCAUUAAAACAUACGGAG